AGUGAACGCUGGCGGUAGGCCUAACACAUGCCAGUCGAACGGCAGCACAGUAAGAGCUUGCUCUUACGGGUGGCGAGUGGCGGACGGGUGAGGAAUACAUCGGAAUCUACUUUUUCGUGGGGGAUAACGUAGGGAAACUUACGCUAAUACCGCAUACGACCUACGGGUGAAAGCAGGGGAUCUUCGGACCUUGCGCGAUUGAAUGAGCCGAUGUCGGAUUAGCUAGUUGGCGGGGUAAAGGCCCACCAAGGCGACGAUCCGUAGCUGGUCUGAGAGGAUGAUCAGCCACACUGGAACUGAGACACGGUCCAGACUCCUACGGGAGGCAGCAGUGGGGAAUAUUGGACAAUGGGCGAAAGCCUGAUCCAGCCAUACCGCGUGGGUGAAGAAGGCCUUCGGGUUGUAAAGCCCUUUUGUUGGGAAAGAAAAGCAGCAGGUUAAUACCCCGCUGUUCUGACGGUACCCAAAGAAUAAGCACCGGCUAACUUCGUG
rnacentral:rRNA from 1 species